GAUGAACGCUGGCGGCGUGCCUAAUACAUGCAAGUCGUACGGAAAGGCCCUUCGGGGUACUCGAGUGGCGGACGGCUGAGUAACGCGUGGGAACGUGCCCCAAAGCGAGGGAUAACGCACCGAAAGGUGUGCUAAUACCGCAUAUGGUCUUCGGAUUAAAGCUUCGGCGCUUUGGGAGCGGCCCGCGUACGAUUAGAUAGUUGGUGAGGUAAUGGCUCACCAAGUCGACGAUCGUUAGCUGGUCUGAGAGGAUGAUCAGCCAGACUGGGACUGAGACACGGCCCAGACUCCUACGGGAGGCAGCAGUAAGGAAUCUUCCACAAUGGGGGCAACCCUGAUGGAGCAACGCCGCGUGCAGGAUGAAGGUUUUCGGAUCGUAAACUGCUUUUAUAAGUGAAGAAUAUGACGGUAACUUAUAAAUAAGGAUCGGCUAACUACGUGCCAGCAGCCGCCGUAA
rnacentral:rRNA from 1 species